AAGACUAUAGACCUGCGGAGUACCUGCGGAAGGAUCAUUAACGUAUCUAUGAUGGGGUGCGGAGCGCCCUGCUCCGGUCGAACGGCCGUGCAGCGGGUGCGCCGCCCCCCGUCCCACCUCACAAACCCACUGUGAACAUUCACCGGUGGAGGGGGCUCGGUCUGCGCCGUGUCCCCGAUGCCGAAUACCCAAACUCCAGUUGCAAAGAACGUCGUGCGGACUCGGUGCCGCCUAAAACAU
rnacentral:misc_RNA from 1 species